AGUGAACGCUGGCGGUAGGCCUAACACAUGCAAGUCGAACGGCAGCACAGUAAGAGCUUGCUCUUACGGGUGGCGAGUGGCGGACGGGUGAGGAAUACAUCGGAAUCUACUUUUUCGUGGGGGAUAACGUAGGUAAACUUACGCUAAUACCGCAUACGACCUACGGGUGAAAGCAGGGGAUCUUCGGACCUUGCGCGAUUGAAUGAGCCGAUGUCGGAUUAGCUAGUUGGCGGGGUAAAGGCCCACCAAGGCGACGAUCCGUAGCUGGUAUGAGAGGAUGAUCAGCCACACUGGAACUGAGACACGGUCCAGACUCCUACGGGAGGCAGCAGUGGGGAAUAAUGGACAAUGGGCGCAAGCCUGAUCCAGCCAUACCGCGUGGGUGAAGAAGGCCUUCGGGUUGUAAAGCCCUUUUGUUGGGAAAGAAAAGCAGCAGGUUAAUACCCCGCUGUUCUGACGGUACCCAAAGAAUAAGCACCGGCUAACUUCGUG
rnacentral:rRNA from 1 species